AAAACAAAUAGACAAUAGUUGAAGAGGCAACACACAAAUAAUUUCAUUCAAAAUAAUAUGGUAUUAUAAUGAUGCAUUGUCUCCAUUUUUCUCUGUCUCUUGUUGUUUUUCUCUUUCUCUCUCUCUCUCUCUACUCUCUGUCACUCCCUCACUCUAAAAACAA
rnacentral:ribozyme from 13 species